GACGAACGCUGGCGGCGUGCCUAAUACAUGCAAGUAGAACGCUGAAGGAGGAGCUUGCUCUUCUGGAUGAGUUGCGAACGGGUGAGUAACGCGUAGGUAACCUGCCUGGUAGCGGGGGAUAACUAUUGGAAACGAUAGCUAAUACCGCAUAACAGUAGAUGUUGCAUGACAUUUGCUUAAAAGGUGCAAUUGCACCACUACCAGAUGGACCUGCGUUGUAUUAGCUAGUUGGUGGGGUAACGGCUCACCAAGGCGACGAUACAUAGCCGACCUGAGAGGGUGAUCGGCCACACUGGGACUGAGACACGGCCCAGACUCCUACGGGAGGCAGCAGUAGGGAAUCUUCGGCAAUGGACGGAAGUCUGACCGAGCAACGCCGCGUGAGUGAAGAAGGUUUUCGGAUCGUAAAGCUCUGUUGUAAGAGAAGAACGAGUGUGAGAGUGGAAAGUUCACACUGUGACGGUAUCUUACCAGAAAGAGAUGGCUAACUACGUG
rnacentral:rRNA from 1 species